UGCAUAACCUUCCCUGGGUUUGAUAAAUUAGUGCAAGGGUCAGACUGUUUUUCACUGGAGGUCUUAGGUGGAGAGCAAGAAAAGUCAGGCAUGGAAUUUGAGGCAGUAAUUUGAUUAUGCCAGUGGGUGAUGGUGGCCAGAAUACUCUUCUUUCCUAAAAUGCUAUUUUAAAAGCUUUUGUGGCAUCAUGCCAAGAAUCUCAAAAGAUUUAAUGCUUCAUUUUCAAUGGCAGUCAAGGAUGCAUUUAAGUUUUGGAAAGUGUGCUUUUCCAGGAAGAGAAUAAAAAAGACAUAUACUUUAGAUUUUGUUAAUUAUUAGGACCCUAAAAUGGCCAUAUUAACAAUCACCCUUACCAUUACCCCUUAUCUAGUACAACGGAAGAUAAUGGAAGUUAAUUAUUUAGCAAAAAAAAUUCACAAAUACUUUGAGAAAAGUAGUUAAUGUGAAAUGAUACAUGGCUUUUGUUUGUUUUUAAUCUUUGUAGAAAGUUAAACAGUGGGAACUAGUAAAAAGGAAUUAAGAAAAAGAAGGCAAGGAGUAAAACUAUCCAUUGCUGUUUUGAGAGAUCAACUAUAUCUCCAUGAUUUGAACAAGCAUAUCCAUAUUUUCUACUUUCAAGAACAUUCGAUAAAAGUUUCAUUCCCUGGUAUGGCAUGACAUAUUUGUCUUCAAAAGAGACAACUUGACCCUACCAAGUGAUUAUUUAAAUUUGGAUCUAAAAGUCAGUAGGAAAGAAGUCAGAGAUUUGAAGAGAGUGCAUUACCCUCUUCAGAGAUGGAAAGGCAGUAUGGAUAGCUUGUAAGAACUUAAGGUGAUCUCAAGGUGAGGACUAGUAAGGGACCUCAACAAAGAGACCUACCAAUAACUGAAAGUGCUAGAGAAUGGACUACUAAAGAGUACAGCCUUGCCAACACCUUGAUUUCAGCACUGGAAGAUCCUGAGAACAAAGCCUGUACUUCUUGUUAACAAAAUGGUAGGUCGUUACGUGAGUGUCAUUUAGCCUGGAAACUUUGUGGAAUUUGUUGUUGUUGUUGUUGUUUUUAAUAAAGAAAUAAAAC
rnacentral:lncRNA from 1 species